AGGGUAYUACGAGUAMCAACUUUAAAACCCAAAGGACUUGGCGGUGCUUUAGACCCACCUAGAGGAGCCUGUCCUAGAACCGAUAAUCCCCGUUUAACCUUACCUUUCCUUGUCAUUACCGCCUAUAUACCGCCGUCGCAAGCUUACCCUGUGAAGGACAUAUAGUAAGCUAAUUUAGUAUAAACUCCCAUACGUCAGGUCGAGGUGUAGCGUAUGGAAAGGAAAGAGAUGGGCUACAUUUACUGGCCCAGUAAAUACGAAUGACUCAGUGAAAAUCUGAACCUGAAGGAGGAUUUAGUAGUAAGCAGGAAGCAGAGUGUCCUGCUGAAUCUGGCCCUGAAGCGCGYACACACCGCCCVUCACCCU
rnacentral:rRNA from 1 species